UACGGGGGGGGCAAGCGUUGUUCGGAAUUACUGGGCGUAAAGGGCUCGUAGGCGGCCACCUAAGUCGGAUGUGAAAUCCCCAGGCUCAACCUGGGAACUGCAUCCGAUACUGGAUGGCUUGAAUUCGGGAGAGGGAUGCAGAAUUCCAGGUGUAGCGGUGAAAUGCGUAGAUAUCUGGAGGAAUACCGGUGGCGAAGGCGGCAUCCUGGACCGACAUUGACGCUGAUGAGCGAAAGCUAGGGGAGCAAACGGG
rnacentral:rRNA from 1 species